rnacentral:rRNA from 1 species
GCGCAAGCGACCUCGUGCCUUUUGCAUAAUGAGCCUACGAGUUAUACCUCACUGGCAAGGUUAAGUCCGCGUACGGACAGAGCCGCAGCGAAAGCGAGUCUGAAUAGGGCGAAAGUCAGUGGGGAUAGACGCGAAACCUAGUGAUCUACACAUGGCCAGGUUGAAGGUGCCGUAACAGGUACUGGAGGACCGAACUGAUUAGCGUUGAAAAGCUACCGGAUGAGUUGUGUGUAGGGGUGAAAGGCUAAUCAAACUGGGAGAUAGCUCGUACUCCCCGAAAUGUUUUUAGGAACAGCCUCGUACUUAUUGUCAUAGAGGUAGAGCUACCGAUUGGACUAGGGGGCUUCACCGCCUACCAAAUCCUGACGAACUCCGAAUGCUAUGACAUCUAUACGGGAGUGAGGCGUGGGGUGCUAAGGUCACACGCCGAGAGGGAAAUAACCCAGACCAUCAGCUAAGGUCCCUAAAAUAU